rnacentral:rRNA from 1 species
GGGGAAUAGAUACCCCACUAUGCCUAGCCUUAAACCUAGAUAGUACUGCCACCCACUAUCCGCCAGAGAAUUACGAGCGAAAAGCUUAAAACUCAAAGGACUUGACAGCACUCCAAACCAACCUAGAGGAGCCUGUCCUAUAAUCGAUGACCCACGCUUCACCUCACCUGUCCUUGCCCCGCCCAGCCUAUAUACCGCCGCCUCCAGCUAGCCUUGUGAAAGUACCAAAGCCAGCAGAAUAGUUAUCCGCUAAGACGUCAGGUCAAGGUGUAGCUAAUGGACAGGGACGAGAUGGGCUACAUUUUCUACAUACAUAGACCACUACCAACGGCAUCAUGAAAACAUGCAUCAAAGGAGGAUUUAGUAGUAACUUAGGUGAGACUCCCUAAAUGAAACACGCUCUGGAGUGUGUACAC